ACGCUCGACACCUACGGAGGCAGCAGUGGGGAAUAUUGCACAAUGGGGGAAACCCUGAUGCAGCGACGCCGCGUGGAGGAAGAAGGUCUUCGGAAUUGUAAACUCCUGUUGUUGGGGAAAAAGAGGAUGGUACCCAACAAGGAAGUGACGGCUAACUACGUGCCAGCAGCCGCGGUAAUCUGAGCGGGCUGGCAAGGC
rnacentral:rRNA from 1 species